AUGGGAAUGUGUUGUCUUUUAUUCCUCCCUGUAUUAGGAGUUUGGAACUGUGAGAUACUGAGAUCCCUUUCCCUUAUCCAAAUUGACCUGUUGCAUGUACACGGUGAACGUUUGAAACCUAACUUUAUUUUCUCCAUUGGAGUUUCCAUACCAUUUAUUUUUAUUUAUGUAGUAAUCUGGAUGCAUUCUUUACAUAUAUUUUUUAUAUUAUAUCUUUUUUUCUUGUUGACAGUUGAGGUGAGGAAGCAAAGUUCAUGUUCGGUCCAUCUUGUGAACAGAACAGAUGAGUAUGUUGCAUUCAAGGUUAAAACAACUUCCCCAAAAAGAUAUUGUGUUCGACCAAAUAUUGGAGUUAUUCUUCCAAGGGCAACUAUGGCUUUUACAGGUGCGUGUAGUCUUCCACUGGCCGAUUUACUGGAAGGUAUGAUUAUUUUGAAGUGA
rnacentral:rRNA from 1 species